rnacentral:rRNA from 1 species
AACUAAUUUCAAUACCACCUAAAAACCCUUAAACAAUACUGAGUAAUUCUAUAUUAGUAUAGAAAAUUUUAUGUUAAAACUAGUAACAAGAAAAAGAAUUUCUCCUACAAUGCAAAUGUAAAUCAGACAGGACAUUCCACUGAUAAUUAACACCAAUGAAAAUAAAGUAGUAACUCAACAAGAAAACCCUAUUAAAUUAUAUGUUAACCUAACACCAGAGCAUUACAAGAAAGAUUAAAAGAAAGAGAAGGAACUCGGCAAAUAUUAACCUCGCCUGUUUACCAAAAACAUCGCCUCUUGCCUAAAUAUAAGAGGUCCAGCCUGCCCAGUGACUCUGUUCAACGGCCGCGGUAUCCUAACCGUGCGAAGGUAGCGUAAUCACUUGUUCUUUAAAUGAGGACUAGUAUGAAUGGCACCACGAAGGUUAUACUGUCUCCUCUUUCUAAUCAGUGAAACUAAUCUCCCCGUGAAGAAGCGGGGAUAAACAUAUAAGACGAGAAGACCCUAUGGAGCUUUAAACCACGUAACACUUGCACUAAUUUUAUACAAAUUUCAGAAAAAUCUACUCCACCCAUGCAAGAUUAUUACUAGUUUUAGGUUGGGGUGACCACGGAGCAAAAAACAACCUCCACAUUGGAAGGAACCUAGUCCUUAGCCAAGAACCACAUCUCCACGCACCAUAAUAAUGACAUUAAUUGACCCAAUAUAUUGAUCAACGAACCAAGUUACCCUAGGGAUAACAGCGCAAUCCACUUCAAGAGCUCCUAUCGACAAGUGGGUUUACGACCUCGAUGUUGGAUCAGGGUAUCCAGGUGGUGCAGCCGCUACCAAAGGUUCG